rnacentral:rRNA from 1 species
AUUGAACGCUGGCGGCAGGCCUAACACAUGCAAGUCGAACGAGUGGCGGACGGGUGAGUAAUGUCUGGGAAACUGCCUGAUGGAGGGGGCUAACUACUGGAAACGGUAGCUAAUACCGCAUACCAUCAGAUGUGCCCAGAUGGGAUGAGCUAGUAGGUGGGGUAAUGGCUCACAUAGGCGACUAUCCCUAGCUGGUCUGAGAGGAUGACCAGCCACACUGGAACUGGGACACGGUCCAGAUUCCUAAGGGAGGCAGCAGGGGGGAAUAUUGCACAAGGGGCGCAAGCCGGAUGCAGCCAUGCCGCGUGUGUGAAGAAGGCCUUCGGGUUGUAAAGCACUUUCAGCGAGUAGGCGUUACUCGCAGAAGAAGCACCGGCUAACUCCGUGCCAGCCGCCGCGGUAAUUC